ensembl:lncRNA novel transcript, antisense to SRCIN1
GCAAAGCAUAUGCAAAUCACCCAGAAGAGAGACACAACACCGCUGGAAUGUCACAAGAAACCUUGGAGAUCAGCCAGCCCACGCCCCCUCAUUUCACAGGCACUGCUUCCCAGCCAAAUCCGAAGCCUUCAUCUCCGCUACUCAGAGCUUGGAAUGAAAGAAGGGGAAGCGAGUACAGCCCUCAAACCCGCUGACGGCCAGAUUUUUAUUAUCUUUGCUCGAAUGGGCCCUAGGAAGCCAGUGAGGGAUUCUUCAAAGAGCAUCUGAGUGCCUCAUUGAAGCCUGCACCUGCACCAGCCCACCCACAGCAGGCAGCCAGGACUUGGGGGGCACAACCUGUCCCCCACCCCCCACAAAUCCUAGAGUCCAGAGCCUCAGCUACCAGGAGACUCACCCUCAGCAGCUUGUGCCCAAGCAGGGGUCCCUAGGUCAGGAAACCAGGCUUAAAGCUAGACCUAAGUCUGCUGGGCCUCUGAGGCAGUCUGUGUCCCUCUCUGGGCCUCAAGGACAUAAAUGAAGAAAGAAAACAGAUUUCCUUGCCAGGGCUUGGAGGAGAUAAAUGCUUGAGAUU